GAGGGCAGUUCAUUGACUCUGACCUGCAGCAGUGAUGCCAACCCACCUGUGGACAAAUACAUCUGGUACAAGAAGAACAUAACCUCACCAAAAGCAUCAGGACAGAGUUACAACAUCACCUCCAUCAGCUCUGAGGAAAGUGGAGAAUACUACUGUGAGGCCCGGAAUAAAAUAGCAUCUAAGAACUCUACAGCUCUGAUGAUCAUUGUAGCAGGGAAACAAACCACAGUUAUGACUACAGCUGUUGGAAUCAUAGUGGUUGUUCUGGUUCUCAUCCUCUGUCUCUCUGGACUCACGUGGUUUAGGAAGAAGGCCUCCAAAUCCACCUCUGACCCAAGAGACACAAGAGAUAUAGCAGGGACAGCGGAGUCACUCACCACCUUCCGGAGACAU